rnacentral:sRNA from 1 species
UCGAAGGAGACGGUACGAUACCCGCGGA